rnacentral:sRNA from 1 species
AUCUCCCUGUGCGUCUGGUAGAGGGGCCUGAAGUGAUACGGUGGGACAGAUUAAUUUAUUCUAAGAGUACAGGUUGGCAUCUGCCUGUGGCUAGGGAGAGAGACCCUUAGAGUUGUGAAUCCUGGUGUUCAGGAUCUUUGCACCACAAGGGUUAAGGAAAUGUUUUGCAGUUGUCUUUUUAAAAACAUUAAGCACAUUUGUGAAGCCCUCACAAUUAUAUCUUUAGAGGAAACCAGAGGAAGAGAGUCCCCGGAAAGAUGAUGCAAAGAAAGCCAAACAGGAGCCGGAGGUGAACGGAGGCAGCGGGGAUGCUGUCCCCAGUGGAAAUGAAGUUUCGGAAAACAUGGAGGAGGAGGCUGAGAAUCGGGCUGAAAGCCGGGCGGCAGUGGAGGGGACAGUGGAGGCUGGAGCUACAGUUGAAAGCACUGCAUGUUAAGAGGGGGCACAGCCCUCCUAAGGGAAAGUGUUUUUGUAUAUAAUGUAUUUUUUCACUUUUGGAGGAUUCUUUUUGUAUAACUUCAAUAAAGAUUGUAAGCAA